GAGAUACUCCCUCCGUCCUAAAAUUCUUGUCUUAGAUUUGUCUAAAUACGGAUGUAUCUAGUUACGUUUUAGUUUAGUGUUAGAUACAUUCGUAUCUAGACAAAUCUAAGACAGGAAUUUUGGGACGGAGUGAGUAUAUU
rfam:Triticum aestivum genome assembly, contig: Triticum_aestivum_CS42_TGACv1_scaffold_033756_1BL